AACGAACGCUGGCGGCAGGCUUAACACAUGCAAGUCGAACGCAUCGCAAGAUGAGUGGCAGACGGGUGAGUAACGCGUGGGAAUUUACCUAGUUCUACGGAACAACAGGUGGAAACGACUGCUAAUAACGUAUACGCCCUAUGGGGGAAAGAUUUAUCGGAAUUAGAUGAGCCCGCGUAGGAUUAGCUAGUUGGUGGGGUAAUGGCCUACCAAGGCGACGAUCUUUAGCUGGUCUGAGAGGAUGAUCAGCCACACUGGGACUGAGACACGGCCCAGACUCCUACGGGAGGCAGCAGUGGGGAAUAUUGGACAACGGGCGCAAGCCUGAUCCAGCCAUGCCGCGUGAGUGAUGAAGGCCUUAGGGUUGUAAAGCUCUUUCACCGAUGAAGAUAAUGACGGUAGUCGGAGAAGAAGCCCCGGCUAACUUCGUGCCAGCCGCCGCCGUAAAAC
rnacentral:rRNA from 1 species